rnacentral:rRNA from 1 species
UACGUAGGGGGCUAGCGUUGUCCGGAAUCAUUGGGCGUAAAGAGCGUGUAGGCGGCCCGGUAAGUCCGCUGUGAAAGUCGGGGGCUCAACCCUCGAAUGCCAGUGGAUACUGUCGGGCUAGAGUGCGGAAGAGGCGAGUGGAAUUCCUGGUGUAGCGGUGAAAUGCGCAGAUAUCAGGAGGAACACCAAUUGCGAAGGCAGCUCGCUGGGACGUAACUGACGCCGAGACGCGAAAGCGUGGGGAGCAAACAGG